rnacentral:misc_RNA from 1 species
GUUUCUUGUUGUCAAGUGCUUCCCUUUCCUAGUUAGGGCAAGGGAGCUUCUCUUCCUGUUUUCCCUAUUUGCUCGUGGGUUAUCCUCACCAUCUUUGAGUGGGUGUAAAUGUUUGUUUUUGUGUUAACUUCGUGGGUAAAUCAUGCUUCAAAAUGAGAGUCUCUUUGAAUCUGCCUUGUCAUGCUUUUUCUUGGUUUGUGUUGUUGGCUCUGUGUUUGCAAGAGGUUUGGAGUUUGUUGGUGUGUAGUGUUUCCUGGGGAGGUGUUCACCGUCUAGGUUCCCCUUAUGCAAGUCAAUAACAGUGUUUUUUUAAUUGAGGGAAUGAAAUUUUUGUGGCGGUGGUAUCUUUAAGGUCAUGUACCAAAAUCUAAAGGUGACUCAUAAGGCGUGCUUGCAGUGGAGCUCUGCCCCAUCGCCCUCAUUGGCUGGCUUCUUAUCGAUGGUUCUUCACUUGGCGUGUGAAGAGUUUCCUAGGCUUCCUAGUUGUUCUUGAUCUUAUGAUUUUGCCCAACUCUGUGAAGAUUAUUGUUGAUCUCUAUUAGGUAAUUUAGCUGCCAUCCUCACUGUCCAUGCCCAUCGAAAGGUAGAGAUCUCCCCACCAGCACUUCCUUCGGCUUUGUUAGCGGUGGCUUCUGCAACGUAUAAUUUGUUGGGUUAGGUCUUUUCCAGGUCUAGGUUCGGGUGUAGUCUAGGGAAAUAGUUUGCAGGGCUUAGGCCCUUUGAUUUUGUUGGACUAUUUUGAGCAGGGCUUUUUAGCUUAUUUGGGGCCGGUUUUACUUGUAUCAUGAGAUGUAUUCCUUUCGGUUUCUU